rnacentral:rRNA from 1 species
GACGAACGCUGGCGGCGUGCCUAAUACAUGCAAGUUGAGCGCUGAAGGUUGGUACUUGUACCAACUGGAUGAGCAGCGAACGGGUGAGUAACGCGUGGGGAAUCUGCCUUUGAGCGGGGGACAACAUUUGGAAACGAAUGCUAAUACCGCAUAAAAACUUUAAACACAAGUUUUAAGUUUGAAAGAUGAAAUUGCUUCCCCCAAAGAUGAUCCCGCGUUGUAUUAGCUAGUUGGUGAGGUAAAGGCUCACCAAGGCGAUGAUACAUAGCCGACCUGAGAGGGUGAUCGGCCACAUUGGGACUGAGACACGGCCCAAACUCCUACGGGAGGCAGCAGGAGGGGAUCUUCGGCAAUGGACGAAAGUCUGACCGAGCAACGCCGCGUGAGUGAAGAAGGGUUUCGGAUCGUAAAACUCUGUUGGUAGAGAAGAACGUUGGUGAGAGUGGAAAGCUCAUCAAGUGACGGUAACUACCCAGAAAGGGACGGCUAACUACGUG